AUUGAACGCUGGCGGCACGCCUAACACAUGCAAGUCGAGCGGCAGCGCGAUAUGUAGCAAUACAUAUUGGCGGCGAGCGGCGGACGGGUGAGGAACACGUAGGAACCUACCCUCGAGUGGGGGAUAACCAAGGGAAACUUUGGCUAAUACCGCAUGAUUUCGAGGGAGCAAAGCUGCCGCAAGGUGGCGCUUGAGGAGGGGCCUGCGUCCGAUUAGCUAGUUGGUGAGGUAAGUGCUCACCAAGGCGAUGAUCGGUAACUGGUCUGAGAGGACGACCAGGCACACUGGGACUGGGACACGGCCCAGACUCCUACGGGAGGCAGCAGUGGGGAAUAUUGGACAAUGGGGGCAACCCUGAUCCAGCGAUGCCGCGUGAGUGAAGAAGGCCUUCGGGUCGUAAAGCUCUUUAGGUUGGGAAGAAGAGUGAUGGAGGAAAUGCUAUCACUUUGACGGUACCGACAGAAUAAGCACCGGCAAACUCUGUGCCAGCCGCCGCUGUAAAAC
rnacentral:rRNA from 1 species